rnacentral:rRNA from 1 species
GACGAACGCUGGCGGCGUGCUUAACACAUGCAAGUCGAACGAAGAGCGACGGAAGCUUGCUUCUAUCAAUCUUAGUGGCGAACGGGUGAGUAACGCGUAAUCAACCUGCCCUUCAGAGGGGGACAACAGUUGGAAACGACUGCUAAUACCGCAUACGAUCUAAUCUCGGCAUCGAGGAUGGAUGAAAGGUGGCCUCUACAUGUAAGCUAUCACUGAAGGAGGGGAUUGCGUCUGAUUAGCUAGUUGGAGGGGUAACGGCCCACCAAGGCGAUGAUCAGUAGCCGGUCUGAGAGGAUGAACGGCCACAUUGGGACUGAGACACGGCCCAGACUCCUACGGGAGGCAGCAGUGGGGAAUCUUCCGCAAUGGACGAAAGUCUGACGGAGCAACGCCGCGUGAGUGAUGACGGCCUUCGGGUUGUAAAGCUCUGUUAAUCGGGACGAAAGGCCUUCUUGCGAAUAGUGAGAAGGAUUGACGGUACCGAAAUAGAAAGCCACGGCUAACUACGUG